GGGCUUGUACUAUAAAUAUAAUAAUAUUUGAUCGUGGAGAACCCCACUGAACCAUAAAAACCACAAAACUACCAAAAUAUUGAACAGCUACAAGUCAGAAUCUAAUUAUCCUAUAAGCAUCAGGUGAAACGCGAUACAGUUUAAUCAGCCACAUCUUAUUCUAUCAGCAAAGAGCAAAUCCACCAUGAGAUAUCUUUCAGUGACGUGCCUUAGCUUCAGCCUUCUUUUGAGACUUGGCCUUUGCCUUGAGAUACUUGAGCUUAACGCUUCCAUAAGCGAGUCCAAAGGUAAAUGCUGAUGCGCGCGCCACCAGAGCAAGAGUGCUGGUUCCUGAGUAUGGUGCUGGAAGAGGUGCCAUUGUCGACUACAAAUUGAGGAAAAUUGGGAUCUGAGAAAGAAGCUGCUAGAUCUCCUUUACAAGCCCUAGAAUUCACAAACACUCAGCCCGUCAAUAUCAGUUUUGUGAUGACGAGAAUCGGGGAAGCUGCAACCAAAUGUGCGC
rnacentral:misc_RNA from 1 species